rnacentral:rRNA from 1 species
GUCUCUUUGUAUAUUAUAAAUAAAGAGUCGGGCCUGCUCGGUGAUAGAAUUUUUAACAGCUGCGGUAUUUUAACUGUACUAAGGUAGCAUAAUAGUUUGCCUUAUAAUUUGAGGCUAGAAUGAAUGGUUUGACGAAGGUUAAUCUGUCUCUAUUUUAUUUAAUAGAAAUUAAUUUUUAAAGUGAAAAAGCUUAAAUUUUUUAAAGGGACGAGAAGACCCUAUUGAGCUUGUAAUUUUAUUAGUAUUAUUAAUAUAAUAUUUAAUAAAUUUUAAUUGGGGUGAUUAAGGAAUAAAUUAAUAUUAUUAGUAACUUCCUUAAGUAAUAGGAUAGGUGUAUAAAUUAACCAAUAAUUGUAUUGCUUUUAUCAAAGUUACCAUAGGGAUAACAGCGUAAUUUACUUAAAGAGUUCUUAUUGAAAAGUAAGAUUGCGACCUCGAUGUUGGAUUAAAGUAACCUUAAGGUGUAGAAGCUUUAAUAGGUAAAUCUGUUCGAUUUUUAAAACUUUACA